rnacentral:lncRNA from 1 species
CUGCAAUACAUGGAACGGCCCUGCACAGUGAAGAACCACCUUUCAUCCCGCAUGACUUGCAAAUCCCCAUUCAACCACGUCAUGGCUCCUGUCCCUCUGGAGGCUGCUCUACCACAGGAAGACAAGCGCUGCUCCUAUCUUCACCGACUUCUCUCCCCAAAGAAACAGACAACCUGGUGGGAAAACAGCAUCACCCCAACUUGGAGCAGCUGGGAGGGACCUGGACCACCAUUCUGCCCCAGGCCCCUCUGCCAUUCUGCAGGAGAACGACUGGCUAGCCUGGUGCUCCUGAGGAUGACAGACAUGUGAAGCAGAGCUAGCCAUCUACCCCAGCUUGUUGCAGG